CAUGCCGUAAACGAUGAGUGCUAAGUGUUAGGGGGGUUCCACCCCUUAGUGCUGCAGCUAACGCAUUAAGCACUCCGCCUGGGGAGUACGACCGCAAGGUUGAAACUCAAAGGAAUUGACGGGGGCCCGCACAAGCGGUGGAGCAUGUGGUUUAAUUCGAAGCAACGCGAAGAACCUUACCAGGUCUUGACAUCCCAGUGACCGCUCUAGAGAUAGAGUUUUCCCUUCGGGGACAUUGGUGACAGGUGG
rnacentral:rRNA from 1 species